rnacentral:rRNA from 1 species
UUUUAUGGAGAGUUUGAUCCUGGCUCAGGAUGAACGCUGGCGGCGUGCCUAAUACAUGCAAGUCGAGCGAACAGACGAGGAGCUUGCUCCUCUGACGUUAGCGGCGGACGGGUGAGUAACACGUGGAUAACCUACCUAUAAGACUGGGAUAACUUCGGGAAACCGGAGCUAAUACCGGAUAAUAUAUUGAACCGCAUGGUUCAAUAGUGAAAGACGGUUUUGCUGUCACUUAUAGAUGGAUCCGCGCCGCAUUAGCUAGUUGGUAAGGUAACGGCUUACCAAGGCAACGAUGCGUAGCCGACCUGAGAGGGUGAUCGGCCACACUGGAACUGAGACACGGUCCAGACUCCUACGGGAGGCA